UCCUGUCCUGUUCAUGAUUUUCAUGAACAGGAUAUAAAUGCUCAGACAAAGUUUGGAAAGUAUCCAGUUUGGAAAACUAAGGGUUACAUUUGGAACUCUUUGAAGAUGAAGUUGUCCUCUGGUUGUCAUCAGCGUGAUCUACAGCUUACAACUGAAUGGUUCAUAGCUGAACAAAAUGAGAAUUAGCCCCUUCAAAUCUGAAGUCAUGAUCUGCUUCCAGAAGAGAGAUGGUUACUUUCUGCAGUUCUCUCUUUAAAUGCAGUUAUGUUCCAUGUUCUUUGUGCAUGGAGCACCAAGAGAUGGGACCACCCUGAUGCCACCACUCGUAUACCCUUCUUCUGACUAUAAACAUGCGCUGAGAAGGCCUAGAGGUGGGAAUCAUUGUUGUUAAUGGAGUUUUAGAGGAACCUUAAAAAGUGAGACUACCAUUACGGGACUUAGGGAUUGUCCUCAAUCUGUAUAUUAAAGAUGAGCAGGUCCCAUCAGAAGUUCAUUGAUUGAUGUGGAGUUCACAGCUUGCUGGAACCCUGAGAAAACGACGUCCAGACACACAGCAACAUCGGCAGAAAAACAGUUUUCCAGGUCCGUAAUGGGGAAGAAAAAGGGCAAGCAGAGCAUCAGCGGAGGUACCAAGCUCGUCACAGAGGACACUUGGGAUGACCUGAAGAGCAGAUGCACGAGAUCGGAAAGGCCUUCGGAGAAGAACAACUACCAAGAGGUAUGUGCCGGGGAUUCUAUGAAUAACAUCUUUAAAAUAACACACUUUGUUCCAUGCACAUACCUCAAGGUAAAUCCUCUGGAGGUCCUGCAGGAUGCAAGAGAAAAACCUGACGAAGAAGCUCCAUUCUCUGUCCAGCCGACGAGCCAGGAGGACUUCCGCAUGUCGGCGGCCGGCGAGGGACACGUGACCGCGGCCAGUGCAUUGUGGGAAGGAGAAGGUCCACGUCCUGCUGUUUGUGACAUCACCAUCGAAGAGACGGUCCUGGACUUUCCGAAGGGGAGGGGAGGGGUAGGCGAGCGAAGCACCGAUCACCCUGAAAGAAGGUAAGGAGGGCCAGGAAAUGACUGAUCAGGCUGUCGAAAAAUUAAUAAAGAUAGACCGCAGUUCGCCAAAGAAGGCAACCCGGUCCUCUGCCAAAGAGAACUCCAAUUCCCAGCAGCCUCCGCGAGACCCAUCAGAACACGUGCCGGCAGCGGACAUGUUCAUUGGCUCCCGGCCAGUAAGUAGGCAGAAGGAGGAAGUCAGCCUACCGCCGGUCGAAUUAAUUAACCCUUUAAAUGUACGGGAACUCGAGGAAUUGAUCGAGCCCGUACAAGCUAUUUUUCAGAUGUUGGAGGCAAUUAAGAAGAUAAUCGGAGAUCUGGGAGUGACGGCUGAAGUGCCGACUAAAAAGGUAAACGAGUACCUGUGACGGAUCAGUCGGGAGCCUCCAGUGUUAAACAAUGCGGCGAUACAGGUAAGCGAGACCCAUAUCGUACAUAAUAGGGGGACGCAGUGUGAUCCGGGCCCGUGUUUUAAAAGUAGCGGGUGCCAUAUCACUGCGUGCCCUACAAGGGACUGUGAAACGAUGACAGACCGGUCGGAGGAAGGAUCGAUCAAGCCGGGGCACCUGGAAAGUGCUGGCUCUCUGAGCAAGGCGGUCCUAAAGACGCCGCCACCGGUCAUUUGUAAAACAAAAGGGGUUCAGACGGAAAAAAAGCGCUCUCUUUCUCUCAUAGAGACCCAAACUGUUGACAAACCCCAAAGCAAAAAGGAGAUCCCAAAAAUGAAACGGGGGUCUCCUGACAAGAGAGUACAGUUAGAGGCGGUGGGGGUCUUCUCCUCAGCAAGAAAAGGGGCAGACCUAACUUUUCCCAAUUGUUUUCAGUCCCGCAGGGGGAGAAUAACAGGAGGACGGAGGCAGUGUUACGGAUGCCGAAGGUUGAGCCACAUUUGGCGGAACUGUCCUUGGAGAGAGGGGGACCAGCUGUCAGUUCGGACUAAUAUUCCCCCUAGAUUCUCCAGGGAGCAAGAAACAUGGAUCAGCCAAGGCUCAACCGGAAACUCCUCUUGGAGAAAGACUUUCCUCUCAGGGCAGGCCGCUUCGAAUUAUAAUCCGUCGCUGGGGGAGUAGUACUGUGGUGUAUGGCCGGCCACUCAUCCCGGCCAAUACCCCCAAGCCACCAGGUGGAGCCCUCCCUGC